AAAGCAAUCAAUAUAGAAACAAGUUACACCAAAACCACAAGACUAGACUAACACAAACUAACAACUGACUAAGUCUCAACACGCUUAUCUU